UUUUACUUUUCAGCCUCCAGAACAGUAAGAAACUCAUUAUUUAUAAGCCAUCCAGCCUAUGGUAUUUCUCUUAUAGCAGUACAAAUGAACUAAGACAGUCUGGAGACAAUAGCUUAAAUAUGAACACAAGGGACACUAAGCCAGUGAGGCCUUUUCCUGCCUAUAAAGCCAGCCUCUUCUCAACUCAACAGAACAUUCAAUUUUAUAGAAUGAGGUGUUGCCUCAUUCUAGAACCACAAUAAAAGCCAAUUUGAUCUUUACAUUUGUUGUAAUCUUGUCUUCUGACAUCACUUCUACAAUGAAAUAGAAACUUCAUAUUUUU
rnacentral:lncRNA from 10 species